rnacentral:tRNA from 1 species
GUAAAUAUAGUUUAACAAAAACAUUAGAUUGUGAAUCUAAUAAUAGAAGUUAGUAACUUCUUAUUUACC